rnacentral:rRNA from 1 species
AGCAGUAGCCGCGGGAAUACAGAGGGUGCAAGCGUUAAUCGGAUUUACUGGGCGUAAAGGGCGCGUAGGUGGUUAUGUAAGUGAGAUGUGAAAUCCCCGGGCUCAACCUGGGAACUGCAUCUUAUACUGCGUAGCUGGAGUGCAGUAGAGGGUAGUGGAAUUUCCGGUGUAGCGGUGAAAUGCGUAGAUAUCGGAAGGAACACCAGUGGCGAAGGCGGCUACCUGGACUGACACUGACACUGAGGCGCGAAAGCGUGGCGAGCAAACAGGAUUAGAUACCCCCGUAGUCCCUGUCUCUUAUAC